rnacentral:rRNA from 1 species
AUUGGGACUGAGAUACGGCCCAGACUCCUACGGGAGGCAGCAGUGGGGAAUAUUGCACAAUGGGCGCAAGCCUGAUGCAGCGACGCCGCGUGCGGGAUGACGGCCUUCGGGUUGUAAACCGCUUUUGACUGGGAGCAAGCCCUUCGGGGUGAGUGUACCUUUCGAAUAAGCACCGGCUAACUACGUGCCAGCAGCCGCGGUAAUACGUAGGGUGCAAGCGUUAUCCGGAAUUAUUGGGCGUAAAGGGCUCGUAGGCGGUUCGUCGCGUCCGGUGUGAAAGUCCAUCGCUUAACGGUGGAUCCGCGCCGGGUACGGGCGGGCUUGAGUGCGGUAGGGGAGACUGGAAUUCCCGGUGUAACGGUGGAAUGUGUAGAUAUCGGGAAGAACACCAAUGGCGAAGGCAGGUCUCUGGGCCGUCACUGACGCUGAGGAGCGAAAGCGUGGGGAGCGAACAGGAUUAGAUACCCUGGUAGUCCACGCCGUAAACGGUGGAUGCUGGAUGUGGGGACCAUUCCACGGUCUCCGUGUCGGAGCCAACGCGUUAAGCAUCCCGCCUGGGGAGUACGGCCGCAAGGCUAAAACUCAAAGAAAUUGACGGGGGCCCGCACAAGCGGCGGAGCAUGCGGAUUAAUUCGAUGCAACGCGAAGAACCUUACCUGGGCUUGACAUGUUCCCGACAGCCCCAGAGAUGGGGCCUCCCUUCGGGGCGGGUUCACAGGUGGUGCAUGGUCGUCGUCAGCUCGUGUCGUGAGAUGUUGGGUUAAGUCCCGCAACGAGCGCAACCCUCGCCCUGUGUUGCCAGCACGUCGUGGUGGGAACUCACGGGGGACCGCCGGGGUCAACUCGGAGGAAGGUGGGGAUGACGUCAGAUCAUCAUGCCCCUUACGUCCAGGGCUUCACGCAUGCUACAAUGGCCGGUACAACGGGAUGCGACAUGGCGACAUGGAGCGGAUCCCUGAAAACCGGUCUCAGUUCGGAUUGGAGUCUGCAACCCGACUCCAUGAAGGCGGAGUCGCUAGUAAUCGCGGAUCAGCAACGCCGCGGUGAAUGCGUUCCCGGGCCUUGUACACACCGCCCGUCAAGUCAUGAAAGUGGGUAGCACCCGAAGCCGGUGGCCCAACCAGUUCGCUGGGGGGAGCCGUCUAAGGUGAGACUCGUGAUUGGGACUAAGUCGUAACAAGGUAGCCGUACCGGAAGGUGCGGCUG